AGGACGAACGCUGGCGGCGCGCUUAACACAUGCAAGUCGAGCGAGAACCGGACCUUCGGGUCCGGGGACAGCGGCGAACGGGUGAGUAACACGUGAGUAAUCCACCCUUGGUACCGGGAUAGCCCGAGGAAACUCGGAUUAAUACCGGAUAGCCCGACAGCCUUUCGGGGCGGUCGGAAAAGGUAGCUUCGGCCUCCGACCAAGGACGAGCUCGCGGCGGAUUAGCUUGUUGGCGGGGUAACGGCCCACCAAGGCGACGAUCCGUAGCUGGUCUGAGAGGACGAUCAGCCACACUGGGACUGAGACACGGCCCAGACUCCUACGGGAGGCAGCAGUGGGGAAUCUUGCGCAAUGGGCGAAAGCCUGACGCAGCGACGCCGCGUGAGGGAAGAAGGCCUUCGGGUUGUAAACCUCUUUCAGGAGGGACGAAGCCACUCGGGUUAAUAGCCCAGACGGGUGACGGUACCUCCAGAAGAAGCCCGGCUAACUACGUGCCAGCAGCCGC
rnacentral:rRNA from 1 species